UAUGGUCAGAGCAAAGCUUAAUAAUGUACAUUAAUUCCUGUCCCUUUAACACAUGACCAGGUGUUUUGAAUGAGAAAAUUCCUAAAAAUACCAGCCACUUUUCAUGCUAGCUUGUCUAACCACUUAUUUUAUUUUAUUUCUAUAACACUGAAUAAGACCGGAAAACACUACACCUAAAGUAUUCAUUGCAUUAAUUUUUGAAGAUGAAUGAAUAGUGUAACUCUGUAGUUUUCAUUUCUGGAGUUUAAUUAAAAAGAAAAAAGUCAAUACAGUAAUGAUGGCCUGGUGAUCCCCACCUGGGGCCUCUCCCCACCCUGCCCACCUCCCUAUUUCAGCCCAGCCUGGGCUCCUUGGCCUGGGUUUUGGUGGUGCUCUCUUGCUCCCUCCAGCCCUGUUUGGUUGUGGGCUGAUGUCCUGGGCUGUCCCUGUGCCCAGGGAGGUGACAGAGGGGUGUGGGGGCUGUCUCCUCCCUGCCCUGCUCAGGUCCUGCCCACGCUGGAGGUCCCUCCCAGCACUCCAAGGUUAUAUUAUGCCUGGAUUAUUAUAGGUAAAUUUUACUGAGGAAGAAAUGCCACACUUAUCUCGGUUCUCCUUUACUUCUUUCCCCCAGUACAAAGAUGUGCCCAGGAGACUCUCCAUGGAAGCUUUCCAGACCAGAACAUAUCAGGAACUGGUACAAUUGCCUCAAGUGCCCCAAUUGGAAUCUGAACAUCUGUAUUUGUUACUGCAUUCCAAAAUAUGGUCAUUUCACCAGGCCACUUCCCUGGGCAGCUGUUCCAAUGCCUGAUAACCCUUCCCAUGAAGAAUAUUCAAUCUACAUCUUGUCUGGUGCAACUUGAGGCCGUUUCUUCUUAUCCUGGUAUUGCAUACUUGUGUCAUUCUUGUGUGUGGCAUCUUGCUGCAUCUAUAAGAUUACAGUUUCAAAGGCCAAGUCAUGUUGAGUUCCUACAUCAAUAUGGUUCCAGUGCUGUAAAACACAAUUUCCUGGUAUCUGAUAUGGGUCAGGAGGGUUGGCUUGUGUCCAUUCCAUCAUCUGCAAGGAUGCACAAUACUUCUGCACUUGUACUUCCUUGUGUAUUACUUGCACUGCAAUAACAUCCCAAUGCUCUUCUCAAGACUAGACCACAAUUUGUUACCUGUGUACAAGACACACAGUUUUGCACUUAACCUUUUUAUGAUGUAUCAGUAAAUAUAUUAUCAAAUUUGAGUUAGUAAAUUUAAAAUCCUAAGGCUUAAGGCAAUGAUCAU